rnacentral:rRNA from 1 species
GAUGAACGCUGGCGGCGUGCCUAAUACAUGCAAGUCGAGCGAACAGACGAGGAGCUUGCUCCUCUGACGUUAGCGGCGGACGGGUGAGUAACACGUGGAUAACCUACCUAUAAGACUGGGAUAACUUCGGGAAACCGGAGCUAAUACCGGAUAAUAUAUUGAACCGCAUGGUUCAAUAGUGAAAGACGGUUUUGCUGUCACUUAUAGAUGGAUCCGCGCCGCAUUAGCUAGUUGGUAAGGUAACGGCUUACCAAGGCGACGAUGCGUAGCCGACCUGAGAGGGUGAUCGGCCACACUGGACCUGAGACACGGUCCAGACUCCUACGGGAGGCAGCAGUAGGGAAUCUUCCGCAAUGGGCGAAAGCCUGACGGAGCAACGCCGCGUGAGUGAUGAAGGUCUUCGGAUCGUAAAACUCUGUUAUUAGGGAAGAACAAAUGUGUAAGUAACUAUGCACGUCUUGACGGUACCUAAUCAGAAAACCACGGCUAACUACGU